GCCAGUGUGGUGUAGUGGUUUGAACAUUGGACUACGACUUCGGAGACCAGGGUUCGAGUCCUCACUCAGCCA